ACCACGUCCCAUCGCAUACCCAUUCUCUGUUCCAUUCCAGAAGCCUAUGAUACAUUUUAAAGAGCUCUUGAGGACAAAGCCAGACCCUUGCUGGCAGAGCCUGUGGAGAGAGCUAGGAUCUGUGCCAAGCCUGCAGAAUGCUGAUGCUCCUAGAGCCUCUGUCCACCAGGUACCAGAGCUGAGAAGAUUCUAUACAGAGGGGUGAGUACAGAAUCCCCAGGCUCCAAUCAGCCCUGCCACACUUUGUUUCUAGGCAGUUCUGCUUGUGCUGAAGAUUCCUAAAGUUUCUCCCAAAAGGAGGCUUUGUGGUUUCCUCCUCUUACCUCUUGUUGCCUCAUAGUCUCAGGAAGCCUUUUCCUCCGUUUCUGGUCUCACUCCUCUGACCAGCAUCUCCAGCAGCUUCCAAGAGGACAGACAAGGGACAGAUGUGAUGCCUCUCCUCUAUCUCCCACCUCUCAGGCCCUACUCUCAACUAAUCCUACCUGUCCUCCCCCGAGGAUGCUGGAUGUUUGACCAACCCCACACAACCCAAUGCACGUGAGUGAUGACAAUGAGUGCAGGGCUGAAAGGGAUCUGAAGGAGAAAUAUUGGCCUUACUCGCUAUACUUUGGCAUCCCCACUCUGAACAGAAAAAUUGCCCUAUAACAGAUGUUUAAAAAUAAACAUACUUAGCAAUUUUAGCAUGGGUUAAAUAGUCUCCUAUUCUUAUUUUACAGAUGUGGAACGAAAAAUGUGCAUGUCCAUCUGGAAAACAGCAUUUAGAAAUUGCAGAUCAUGGACAUUUUAAAAUCUAAAAGUCAUGGCCAACCGUACCCUGGAUCCCGUGCUGGGAUGCUCUCC
rnacentral:lncRNA from 9 species